AAAUCAACUGAGAUUGCCUUAGUAGUGGCGAACGAACAGGCAAGAGUCCAAGCUGAAAAUCUCCGUCUUACGGGCGGCGAGUUGUAAGCUCAAGAUACGAUUCUGUACGUGGUCUUGGCGCAUAAUUCCUUUGGAAAAAGGAGGCAAAGAGGGUGAAACCCCCGUAUUAGGCGCUAGGUAAGCGGAAAGAAAGUGUCACAGAGUCGGGUAGCUUGGGAUUGCUGCCUUAAUUGGGAGAUAAACUUCUUCUAAGACUAAAUAUGGAUGGGAAACCGAUAGCGAACAAGUACUGUGAAGGAAAGAUGAAAAGAACUUUGAAAAGAGGGUUAAAAGACUUGAAAUCGUUGAGAAGGAAGCUAAGGAAGCUGGCCGAUGUACGUGAUGUUUUACGCAAGCGAAGGUGGAUGAUUUCCUCAAAAGGAUCUGAAGCUGGAGCCGAGGAAGAACCUCUCCGUGCUGAAGGCAGAAUCAGGUUCGUCGCUGUCGAACGGUGUUAAGAAUUUCCGGGUUUACUCGUUGCUUGACACUUACGCACUGGCGGGCCUGAGGGGCUUAUGCGAUUCUGCCGAAACGGCUUUCUUAGAA
rnacentral:rRNA from 1 species